AUUCUACACUCAUAGAGGAUUCCAAAGAGAUAACAUGCAUCAUCAUCGGAGGCCGUUUGACCCCCUAAAUAAUUCGCCGAAGUUGGGACUUCGACACAGUUUUUCCGUAGUGCCGGAAAAAUUUGUUAAAAUCCGAUUCUUCCUCUUUUAACCACCUCUACAACCCUUAUCCGACCCCUCUAGACUAUAUCCACCCUUUGUAUAGCCUAAUGUCAUCAAAAGACUAGAUAGGGAUGGAUAUUUACCUUUUUCUUUUUGGAAAUCGAGGUCCUUGCGUAGAGGAGAAGGAGAUCUACGUUUUUCUCUUCAGCUGGAAGUGCAACCGGGAUCCCUUUCCCUUUCUUUUUCUUCUUCCUCUUCCUCUUCUUUUCUUCCUUUCCUUUCCUCUUCUUCUUUUUCUUCCUCUCUGUCGCCUGAGAACCCCCUCCCUCUUUCUCUCGGUUUCAUUCCAAAAGCCAGCUCAAACCCUCCAAUUAAAUCACAUCAAGAUACUAUUCACCCUUUUUUUAAUAUUAUUAAAUUCCCAUUUUGCCCCUAACACUUCAACAUAUCUACGGUUAUGCCAUUAACUUUUGAUUCCUUCCAAUUUUACCCCUUAUAUCAAUUUUAAAGGACUAUUCUAUCCC
rnacentral:lncRNA from 1 species